rnacentral:lncRNA from 1 species
UCAGCCCUAAAACAUUUCCAGAUGUACUACUCCAUUUUUAGAUUUAAAGUGGAGUUUUAAUUAAGAAAUUAGCUCUUCGCUUUCCUUAUAUACACAAAAACAAAACAAAAAUAGAUACAAAAAUGAAAAACAAGAAAAAAAAUCACUAUUUCAUUGAUUUUGGAUAGAUUCUGGAUUUUUCUUUGGGAUUUUGCCUUACAGCUUGUUUUGGGGUUUACUUCGAGUUGAUCUGGGUUUAGUCCUGCUGGUUUAUGGUUUUUUUGUUGGGUUUUCAAGCUCCUGAGUGAUUUCAAGCAUAUUUGAGACUUAUUUGAUCGAUUUUAAUCAUUCCUGGGUUGUGUCUGGACUAUACUUGAUUUCUGGACUGAUAUUUGUUGUUGUUGUGCUUAUUGCCACUGAUUUCCUCUUUUUCUUCUGAACUUCCGAAUCGCGGGUACAUGUUCUAC